rnacentral:rRNA from 1 species
UACGUAGGGGGCGAGCGUUGUCCGGAUUCAUUGGGCGUAAAGAGCUCGUAGGCGGCUUGGCAAGUCGGAUGUGAAAACUCCAGGCUCAACCUGGAGCCGCCAUUCGAUACUGCUAUGGCUAGAGUCCGGUAGGGGAGUGUGGAAUUCCCGGUGUAGCGGUGAAAUGCGCAGAUAUCGGGAGGAACACCGAUGGCGAAGGCAGCACUCUGGGCCGGUACUGACGCUGAGACGCGAAAGCGUGGGGAGCGAACAGG